UCUCUCACUCUGCCUUAUGACCCUCAGUCGAAUUCUUUCUUCUGAGGAGGCAAGAAUUGAGGUUACUGCAGACCUGUACAGAUUCACCACCAGCAACACUGAGUCAUUCUAGCGAAUCACAGAACCUGAAGAAGGAGUGGGAAGUGUAACCAUAAUAAGUUCAUUGCCUGAUGUGCAUGGCAGGUCAAUACUCCAAGAUAGCAGGUUGCAGCAGAGAAAGAGGUUUAAUCAUAGGGCUGCCAAGCAAGGAGAUGGGAGGAAACCUCAAAUUUGUCUCCCCAAGGAGAUUGAGGCUAAGGUUUUUAAGGGUUUUGGAGCAGGCUGGAGUGUGGUGAUGGUUGACUGAGUGCAGACGAAGUCAUGAGACAGGCAGGUGAAGAAUAUAGAUUGUCAUGCUGAUUCAGUUCCUCUGACACCAACUGGUUGGCGUCAACUGUUCCAGUGGAAUUCAGGGUUGGCUUAAGCAAUUCUUAAACAAAAUCCUCAUGAUCCUAUGAUUCUGUUUAAGCAAUUCUUAAGAGUCUUAUGAUUUUAACAUUAGAAAUCCUGUCUGUAGGAGCAGCGGGCAUGCAAACCGUCAGUAUCUAGUGUUAUGUGACUUUGGUUACAAGGAAGUGGGUCAAAGCACAGCCUAAUUAAUGCUUAAUUAUAAAUAUAUUUCUGUCCAGAAUUCUUGUUAACCCUGUGAGGAUGGCUUCCUAAGCAGGGGAACCCUAAAAUUUAGAGUUGGCUGGGCAGAAGCAUGGGUUGCCUGGGGACCCCAUGGGCAGCUGGCAUCUGAAGUGCAGCAGUCUCAUGAGACUGAGCCCUUUAGCAUGUGGAAUCUUAUGCUAACUCCAGGAAGAUAGUUGAGAAUUUAAUUUAAUUGUCAGACUCCCACUAGAGUCCAGAGAGUUGGAGAAGUGGUUGGUGUCACAUUGGCAGUGGCAGCACUGAAGAGUGGCACUCAGCUCUCCUUCAAAAGAACCUGCCAGGGAAGAAUUAUCACAGUGGUCUAGUGGCGCCAGAUGCCACCCUUUUGGUCCCAUCUUGCAUUUGUCCUGAGGAAACCAACUUGUCCUGGUUUCCUCAGAUAUUCCCAGUUUUAACAAUCAAAGUCCCAGAGCCUGGCAACCCCUUCAGUCCCAGGGAAACUAGGACAGUGUUCAGUUGGUCAGUCAAUGGCUCACACACGGCUCACCGCCAAUGACUGAGCAUAGUGGAAUAUGAGUUCUGGCUCACUCCUGCACAUACACAAAUCCUCUGACAAGCAGUUUUUGCUUGGGGACUUCCCACCAGCCCAGCCUGAACUUUCUCAGAACUGUGCUACAGUCUGAGGAUCAGCUGACCUAACCCUCCUCUUUCUCACCUCUCUGUCCACAGGGGUCACACUUGCCUUGGGGUCUGAUGGCUCUCCCUGCCUGCUCCCACUCUUCCCCCUUCAUCUUUUCCAGGGAUUUCUCUCAAUCAAUCUCUUACCUGUCUAAUUCUGUUUUGGCACCUGAUUCUUAGAGGACCAGAAUUGACACAGGGACCCAUUUAUCAAUUUUUUUCUUUGAAACAGGAUCUCGCUUUUUUUUUUUUUUUUUUUUUUGAGACACUGUCACCCAGGCUGCAGUGCAGUGGCACAAUCAUGACUCGCUGCAGCCUCAACCUCCCAGGCUCAGGCUAUCCUCCCACUUCAGCCUCUCAAGUAGCUGGGACCACAGGCACAUGCCACCACCCUCGGCUAAUUUUUUUUUCCCCAAUAGAAACAGGGUCUCCCUAUGUUGCCCAAGCUGGUCACAAACUCCUGGACUCAAGCAAUUCUCCCACCUCAUCCUCCCAAAAUGCUGGGAUCAUAGGCAUGAGCCACCACAUCAAGCUUCUAAGUAUUUUUUAAAGCUCCCAAAGCAAUUGUGAUGUCAGCCACAUUUGAGAAUCAUUAUCCAGCUGUGCUAACUACCAGUGUGUCUGCCCAUAGUCUAAUGGGGAGAACAACAUGGAAAAUGCAGCUAGGCAUAUGUGAGCUGAAUGUUCUGGAAGCACUGAGGAAGGAGAGACUAAAUCGCCCUGAUGAAGUAGGGGGUGGCUUCAGCUUCCUGUGCUGAGAGACAACAAAGGAAUGUAGAAGUCCACAUGCAUGUAAAGCGCUGGUGUGUGCUCCAGGAAGACCUGAGAAGUUACGAAGUUCUUAUCUCUGGCUGACCUUGAGGUUCUUUCAAGAAAUGAAGGCUAAGUGUCUCAUUUUAAGGCCUGAAAGCAAAGCUGCCAAGCAACCGUCAGAGAGAGAGCUACAGCUACAGAGAGUAAGAUAACAAGGGCCUGUCCUAGAGCAGGGCUGGGUCAGGGGAGGAUGGAAGGAGAAGUUCCCCAGGAUAUCGUAAGGGAUGGAGUUGGGGUGGCAGGGAUCUGUGUACCAAAUGCUCACAGAAUUCCAAGAGGUAUAGAGGGACCAGGAAUAUCUGAAAAAAAGUAGUCUUCAGGUUUCCCUGAACAGCCUCAUAUGGACUACCUUGGUCAUGAGUAACCAGUGUUGAGAAUCAGUGUUGCAAUCUCACUCCCACCCCCACUGUUACCCUCAGCCAUGAGAACCUGAAACCAUUCUUGGUCUAGGUAUCACUCACCAGUGGUAUGUUUUGCUAAACAAUCUUGGGUUUAAUUAUAAUAUUGGCCACAAAUUGUUUGCAUCUCUUCCCAUAAAGAGGUGGAGUUGAUAUUCUUCCUUCUUUUGAAUCUGGCCUUGGCAUAUGACUUGCU